UCAAGUUUUCUUAGGUGGCUUUGUUACUCC
rnacentral:piRNA from 1 species